GACGAACGCUGGCGGCGUGCUUAACACAUGCAAGUCGAACGGAAAGGCGCUGCUUUCAGUGUGCUCGCGUUGCGAACGGGUGGGUAACACGUGGGUGGUCUGCCCCCUACUUUGGCAUGAGCCAGUUAGAGUGGGUGGAGUACUUGAUAGGACAAUUCUUGAGGUGGUGUGUUGGAAAGAUUAGUUUCGGUCAGGGAUGAGCUCUCGGACGAUCAGCUUGUUGGUGGGGUAAUGGCCUACCAAGGCGUCGACGGGUAGUCGGCCAGACAGGGUGGAAGGCCAGAUUGGGACUGCGACACGGCGCAGAAUCAUACGGGCGGCCGCAGUGGGGGAUAUUGCGAAAGGGGCGCAAGGCGGAUGUGACGACGCCGCGUGGGGGGUGACGGCCUUCGGGUUGUAAACUACUUUCAGCCAUGACGAAGCGCUUGUCGUGACGGUAGUGGUAGAAGAAGCACCGGCUAACUACGUG
rnacentral:rRNA from 1 species